AACUCUCUUUUUCUCCUUGUUUCUCAGAAAAUCCAAAUAGUUAUCUCGAAUCAAAACUUCAAUAAGGCUAUUCAUUGUCUCUUGUUUGCAAUGAACCUCGCCGGUGCUUCCUGUAAUUUUGUUUGUGAAGGCUAAUAAGGCAAAGUUUCUGAGACUGUGAGCUUUCAGAGGUUUGCUAGUGCUGAUCUGUCUGAACGUUUUAAGAAGAAGAAAUUCAAGUCGCUUAUCCCUCAGAUCGUUCAAGUUAUUUAUCUCGGAUCUUUGUCCAUGUUCUCAGUUGGAGCUGUGACACUUGCAUGCUCUUAUUUAAGCUCAGGUGCGAUUGUGUCCUUUAUGACAUCAUUAGCUUUCUUGAUCGAGCCUGUCCAUGCAUAUACAAAUCUACUUUUGCUUAGUUCAGUAUACUUGAGAAUCUAAAGAAGGUUUAUACAUAACUAUCUCUCUCUUUUACUUUCACUUGUAUGCUACUAACUCUAUGGUAUAUAGCCCCAAAAGUUCUUCCACGGUUUGCCUUUACUUCUUGUAUAUAGAUGUACGCAAUGAAGACACCUUUGUGCUCCACACUGAAAAUAGUAAGAAAACAAUGGAAGCGGCAGUGGUAGUGAGCAGAGGAGGCGACUGCGGUAACUAGCAAAAAUUGCUUCUCAACACUUGAUUGCAGAGAUGUAAGGGCUGGACCUUGAAGACUGUCGUGAAAAAGAGCCUCUUGGUCAUGGGUUCUAUGCAGACUUCACUAUGGCAACAAGGAUAACAAUGCCAGCCUUCAUCACCGAGUGUGUUGUAUUUUUCUUUGAGUUCAUGUGUUUCAUGAAUUUAUUUUGUAUGUUUUGAAUCUUUACUGGAAAAAGAUAUUGUAUUUUAUGAUUUA